CAAAAGAAAAAAUGUAGCUUUACUGACAUCUAUUUGUAAAAUAUAUUAUGAUAUAUGAUGAUUUAUCUACGGAUUCCCCAUCAUUUAAACCAUAAAUGAAAUUUGAAGUAACUGAAAAAAUGUAAUCGGAAUGGAAGUCAGACAAAACGUUACUGAUUACCAAUGUCCGUUCAGGAUAUCCAAAAGGUGCGCAUAUAGUAAAUUCCUAAGAAAGUAUAGAUCCUACUGUGAUGACAAACUUACCCAGCUCGCUUCGAUCUACCAUGAAGAGAACUGUUCCAAUCCAACGCAAAAUACUAAACAGCUGAUUUUAUUUAUUAUUAGUAAACAUUUACUAUUAAGGCAUUGUCUGAUAUCAUAAUUUUAUUUAUUUUUACAGUAAAUCUGAGUCUGUUAUGUGCAGUAUGAUUGAAGGAUACUUAAUUGUCUAAGGUUACUGAUUAUCAAUGUCCGUUCAGGAUAUCCACAAGGUGCGCAUAUAGUAAAUUCUUAAGUAUAGAUCCUACUGUGAUGACAAACUUACCCAGCUCGCUUCGAUCUACCAUGAAGAAGAACUGUUCCAAUUUAGUUAUUAAAUUAAGGAUUAGUUAUUGUGAAAUUGACCUCAUUAAUUUUUGUCUAUAGCGUGAAGGCUGAGAUCCAUAUAUAUAUAGCAGUGAAUUAAUGAUGAACGAUUUUAUAAAUAUAAAUCAUGUAAAUCAUUUAUAUUAAGAUGGUAGAACUAAUAAAUUGAAAUUUAGUAUAUAUAGUAGCGUACGUGAUCAGAACUAUGUAUAAUACCAAAGUUUCGUCUUUUUCUUAUAUUUAGAUAAUAUCCCACUUAUUUGAAGCACAUGGGCGACUUUACGCAGGUUUAAAUUGUUGAUAUAUUAAAAUACAAAUUAUUGACAUAUAAACCUUUAGUUGAAUAAAGUUAUUUUAUCGUCAUAAGUUUAAAUCUAACUAUAAGUGGAGGUCUGGUCCUGCUUAAGUCAAAUUUUGUUUCAAAUAUAUCGGUAUUAUUCCAAUUUA